AUGUUAGGAAAAAGAAAGUAUUUCGAGACACACCAAAAAAAAAAAAUAAGAAAAUGGAUUGAAGAAUUAGAUGAAGAUUCUAAAGAAAUAGAUAUAGAGUGUUUAAACGAUUUAGAACAAACUGAAAAAAGUCAUUUACAAGAGUUAGAUGAGACAAAAGAACAAGAAGAAGAAACAGAAAAAAUAAUUUCAAAACUAAAUAAACAAAAUGAUGAUGACAAUGAAUCGAAUGAAACAAGUGAUGAAGUUAGUAAAAAAAAUGAUUCUAAUAAAAAAAAAAGAAGAUAUGACUGGAUGAGUAGUGAUGAUGAAGAUAUAUCAUCAAGUGAUGAUGAAGAAGAGGAGGAGAUGGAAGAGAAACAGAAAGAGACAGAAAAAGAGAAAGAGAAAAAGAAAGGCGAAAACGAUGAUGGUUUAACAAUGGAACCAAAUAAUGGGAUGGAUAAUGAGCUAGAUAGUGAGCUAAAUAAUAAUACCGAGGAAUAUCUUAAUACGAGCAUUAAUAAUAAUAAUAAUAAUAAUAAUAAUAAUAAUAAUGGUUCUGUUAAGGCUGUUAGUGCUGCUUGCGCUGUUGGUUGUGAAUAUACAGCUUAUAAUAAAACGGUAGCUACUAAAAUAAAUAGUGAUAAUGUUAAUUAUUAUGAAAUAAUUGAUAAUAUAAGUAAAUAUUCAAUUAAUCCAUUAGAUAUAAGACUAGAAGAUAUUGAACAUCUUAUAACUUACAUUUAUUUUAAUAACAUUCAUUUUAAUUGUAUUAUUGAAGAUUUAGUAAAGUUUUUAGAAAAUCAUAUUGAUAACAAAAUUUUACAAAUUAAUUCAGAUAAGUUUCAGAAUUAUACUAUUAUAUAUAAAUAUAAUGAAAAAAAUAAUGAUAAGGUGGUAAUAAGUAAAUUUCCACAUAUGGGCAAACUAUUUGUUCAUGUAAAAAAUUAUCAAGUAAUUUUUACGAAAAUUUGUAGUAUAAAAAAAAAAAAAAAAAAAAAAAAAAAAAAUUUCUUUCCAAUUCUGAGAUAA
rnacentral:lncRNA from 1 species